GACGAACCACACGAACGUUAUUCGGAAUUACUGGGCUUAAAGGGUGCGUAGGCGGCGCGGUAAGUAGGGUGUGAAAUCCCUCGGCUCAACCGAGGAACUGCGCUCUAAACUACCGUGCUCGAGGGAGGUAGAGGUGAGCGGAACUUAGGGUGGAGCGGUGAAAUGCGUUGAUAUCCUAAGGAACACCGGUGGCGAAAGCGGCUCACUGGAUCUCUUCUGACGCUGAUGCACGAAAGCUAGGGUAGCGAACGGG
rnacentral:rRNA from 1 species